rnacentral:rRNA from 1 species
CCCUUAGAUGUCCGGGGCUGCACGCGCGCUACACUGAAGGAAUCAGCGUGCUAAAACCAUUGUCGAAAGGCAUUGGUAAACCCAUUAAAAUCCUACGUGAUUGGGAUCGGGAAUUGCAAUUAUUUCCCUUGAACGAGGAAUUCCCAGUAAGUGUGGGUCAUAAGCUCGCGUUGAUUACGUCCCUGCCCUUUGUACACACCGCCCGUCGCUGCCCGGGACUGAGCCGUUUCGAGAAAAGCGGAGACUGCUGCUGUCGGGGCUUUCGGGCCUUGGCUUCGGUGGAAACCGCUUUAAUCGCAGUGGCUUGAACCGGGCAAAAGUCGUAACA